rnacentral:rRNA from 1 species
UGGGGAAUCUUGCGCAAUGGGCGAAAGCCUGACGCAGCGACGCCGCGUGGGGGAAGAAGGCCUUCGGGUUGUAAACCUCUUUCAGCAGGGACGAAGCCACUCGGGUUAAUAGCCCAGAGGGUGACGGUACCUGCAGAAGAAGCCCCGGCUAACUACGUGCCAGCAGCCGCGGUAAUACGUAGGGGGCAAGCGUUGUCCGGAUUUAUUGGGCGUAAAGAGCGUGUAGGCGGCCAGACAGGUCCGUUGUGAAAACUAGAGGCUUAACCUCUAGACGUCGAUGGAAACCGUCUGGCUAGAGUCCGGAAGAGGAGAAUGGAAUUCCUGGUGUAGCGGUGAAAUGCGCAGAUAUCAGGAAGAACACCCGUGGCUAAGGCGGUUCUCUAGUACGGUACUGACGCUGAGACGCGAAAGCGUGGGGAGCGAACA